GACGAACGCUGGCGGCGUGCUUAACACAUGCAAGUCGAACGAUGAUCUCCGGGCUUGGUGUGCUGUUAGUGUCGAACGGGUGUGUAUUACAUGUGUACCCUGCGCUUGUCUCUGGGAUAUGCCUGGUAGACCGGGCGUAUUACUCUAGACUACUUCUGGCCGCAUGUUUUGAGCUGGUAGGGGGAUUACUGGUUUUGGAUGAGCUCACGGCCUAUCAGCUUGUUGGUGGAGUAAUGGCUCACCAAGGCGACGACGGGUAGCCGGCCUGAGAGGGUGACCGGCCAAACUGGGACUGAGACACGGGCCAGACUCCUACGGGAGGCAGCAGUGGGGAAUAUUGCACCAUGGGCGGAAGCCUGAUGCAGCGACGCCGCGGGAGGGAUGACGGGCUUCGGGUUGGAAACCUCUUUCAGCAGGGAAGGAGCCAAAAGUGACGGUACCUGCAGAAGAAGCGCCGGCUAACUACGUG
rnacentral:rRNA from 1 species